GAGAGAGAGAGAGAGAGAGAGCGCUAAAUAGGGUGCCUUAGGAAAAGUGUGAUUCUGAUUUUUUUUUCUCUGGUUUCUUGUUGGCAUUUGAAGGCACAUCCAUCUUGUUGAAACUACAAAGAAAACCCAGAAUAAACUCAUUGUUCAAUACAAAAGGGGUAGUAGAAAGACACUAAAAAAUAAUAAAAAAGAUUUUGGAAGUUAUGUGCCUUUAUGAUGGAUAUAUAUAAUAUAUACAUACCACUGCCCAAGCUAACGGGCAAAUGUAUUCAAAUUUAAGGACCAAUGUUCUUAAGUUCUGUUAGUGUAUCAGUCUGCAAUAGGUUUGAAGCUACAAAUUUGUAUGCUGUGAUCUAAUGAGAUCUUUUUCAUAGGCAACUCCUGCAAUUUUCUUGAUUAAUUUAGAAGGAGAAACUGAUCUCUGUUGUACUAAAGUCAAGUGAUAAAGUUACCCCAAAACAAAAUACUUUAGGAUGGUCAUUUGUCUAUUCUAAGUGUUUUAAUUUGCAGCUAUCAAAAUGUUCAUGAUUAUGAUAUGGGAUUGAAUGGGAUAACAGUGAAUCCAACUAUAUUUGCAGGUGUGGACUUCUCAAACGCAGUUUUAGAUCGGGUUAAUUUCGGGAAAGCCAAUCUUCAAGGAGCUGUAUUUAAGAACGCUGUACUAUCAGGCUCCACUUUUGAUGAAGCUCAAUUGGCAGAUGCUGUUUUUGAGGACACCAUAAUAGGAUACAUUGAUCUUCAGAAGCUAUGUACAAAUAUAACCAUUGAUUCUGAAGGAAGAGCUAGUCUCGGCUGUCG
rnacentral:misc_RNA from 1 species